ensembl:lncRNA
CGGAAGUCUUUUAUCGACUUAACGUGAUGCACGUAUAAAUUCUCCUCCCCCUUCACAUCUGCUCCAAGUGCUAACCAUGGCAGAAAAUUCAAACACACAUAAAUGUGAGUGUUAAGCAUGAAUGUGGGUUAUUUUUUGACAGUGCCUUUAAUUUCGAUGUAUAAUGUGUACUUUUCAGCCCAGUUUUAAUUAUGUUUAUUACGUUUCUUGAUUUUACUGGCUUAUUGUUUUUAAUUGUUUAAUUAGUGCCUCUUAUAUUGAUAAAUGGGGAAUAGAGAAUGUUUUAAUUUAGGCCUGUAGUUAAUUCAUGUGUUGAGUAUUUGUAGUUUAUGCCUGCAUUGGUUAAUAUGCAACACAUUAACAUUUCGAACUGCUUCACUGUAGUGUAAAAUUAUUUCUUACAAGGACUGAUAAGGAGAACGAAAACUUAAUUAAAUUCCGUAUGGAGCUUGAUUCUGACUUCACUGGGAAGAGGAACAGUGCCAAAAAAGCCUGGAUACCCUGGCUUGUCACCAUCCGCAUCUGUGGAGGAAAGGGAGGAGGAGGACACAACAUCCUAUGCACCAUCUGGCAGAGACAACUUCCAGGAGGAAAGGCCCUGUACUUCUUCGGGUCCCCCGCCACCUAAAAAGAAAAGAUCCAACAGAGUGCUAGAUUUUCUAGAGAAGGAGGCUGAAAAAGAGGAAGAACGUCUACAGGCCGCGCACAAAUUAAUGGAAUCUACUUCAAAUAGGUUCCUUGACCUCUUUGAACAGUUGAUUAAAAAAAGUUGAACACUAUCUCUGUUUGUUGUUUUUGCUUUGAGAAUUUUUUUGUGCCAUUAUAUGCCAUAAUAGAUGUUUUAUGGUAAACACAGUUGCCAGAUGAGUACAAAACAAAAAUAUUGGCUUAAUUGGAAAACAUGUUUAUUUACAUUAAACUAUUUUAUCUAUUGAUAAUGUGGAUAUUGCAAAUAAUUUAAUGCAUGAGUUUAGAGACAUGGGGAACUUUUUUUUAUUUUUAAUAAUCUGAACUUAAACAUUGUGUGUAGCAAUAUCUUUGUCUUUCUACAAAUAAUCAUGCUCAUUUAACUCCACUGGAUACACCUGAGGAGCUGACAGUUUUUCUGCCAGUUUAUCACACCAGGCAUUCCCACCACAGACCCCUCUCACUGGACAGGGUGGAGGUAAACCAACAUCAUCCACAACUUCAGGGCCUUCAAUUAUGUCU